GACGAACGCUGGCGGCGUGCCUAAUACAUGCAAGUAGGACGCAGAUGCGAACGGGAGAGUAACGCGUAGGUAACUACCUAUUAGUGGGGGCUAACUAUUGGAAACGAUAGCUAAUACCGCAUACUAGUAGAUUUACCUGCGUUGUAUGAGCUAGUAGGUAGGGUAAUGGCCUACCUAGGCAACGAUACAUAGCCGACCUGAGAGGGUGAGCAGCCACACUGGGACUGAGACACGGCCCAGACUCCUACGUGAGGCAGCAGUGGGGAAUAUUGGGCAAUGGGGGGAACCCUGACCGAGCAACGCCGCGUGAGUGAAGAAGGUUUUAGGAUCGUAAAGCUCUGUUGUUAAGGAAGCGGUACUUAACAAGAAAGGGACGGCUAACUACGUGCAAGCAGCCGCGGAAAUA
rnacentral:rRNA from 1 species